CAAAGAACUCUGGGAUUAUGAGUUUAAAAAAUACACACGCAACAUAUAAACUCGUUUUAAUGUAAAUUGGUGUCUAAAACGUUAGUUGACUGUUGUUUAAAUGGCAGCUUGUACAGAUGAGAGUCAGAGUCAGUUAUCAUUAACUCAAGCCCUAGAAAAUAUUAGCCAACAUGGCCACACUCAGACUGAAACUCUGCAAGAGAAGCAGAAGACACUCAGCUACCUACAGGUAAUUCUGGCAGGUGAGCAGAAGAAAGGGGAUGAGGCCCAAAGGAAAUUGAGAUGUAAAGCCACAGAGCUCCUCGUCCUGGAGGACGAGAUGAUGCAUUCAAAGAAGCAGAUGCAGGCCCAACAUGACCAGUGUGCUUCCAUCAGAGCGGACAACAUCAAACUCCAAGAGCAAAUAUAUGAGCAGGAAGAAAAGGCCUGCACGGCACGAAUACAGUUUAACAUUUAUAGAAGAAAGAUGAAUGGCCACAGGCAGGCGGCUUUGCAUGCAGCAGGCUGGACUUCGGCUUGUAAGGAGCUGGAGGAGAAGAGGGCGCUGGUUCAGACUCUGAGGAAGGCCAAGGGUGAGCUGGAGGAGGAUUUAAAGAAUUGUCAUGGAAACACUGCCCGGAUGGCAAAGAGAGAAGUUGAUGCUCUGAAAGGAGAGAUUGCUGUCAUGAGGGAAACUAUAGCUGGGAUGAGAGAGAAUCUGCAGAAAGAGUUGGAGACUCAUGCCCAGACAAAGAAAGACAUUGAGAUUCAAAACAAGCGCUUUGCAGCCAUGGUCAAGUGCCUUCAUCGCCAACUGAGCAAGGCCCAGACUUUUCAUAGGCAAAUGUCCAGCGACAUGGACCACAUGAAGAGACAGAUAACCGAGCUCAAAAGUAAGCUGGGAUCAACGAAUGACUCCGUGAUCAUCUGCAAGCCAUAUGAAGACCAACAAUAAGAAGCAGAACGUGACUUUUCAGCCACGUCCGUACCUCUCUCCCCCUCUGCUCCCGGCCGCUCACUGUUAAAGACAACAGAUGAUUAGAAUAACACGUACCACCUGUGAUAUCUAAUCACCUGCAAGCUGUGUCUUGCCGUCAGCACAUGCCCCGCCCCUGCCCGAUGGUGCUAGUCCUCAGUGCUAUGGACAGCGGCGGUGAGUUUUCCUCCUGCAAGCAGCGCUGACUACACCUCCCCUCACACUAGCCAGCUGCUAAGCUAGCGCGGAGAAAGGCAGCGCCGGUCAGUAAGAAGCUACUCCUACAGACCGCGACCACUUCCCUGAGGACAGCAGGAACUUCACUCGGUGACAGAAAACACUGUGAGUAAUGGCUUCCUGCGCGUCUUGCACCAUACUCACGGAGAGGUUGGCUCUGCUAGAGGGCCGUGUCCGCCAGUUAGAGCAGAGUAAUGUCGUAACUUUAGAUGUUGCGGACACAUCUGCUAGCGUUAGCUGUAGCGAGCUAACUAGCCCAGCUUGUAGCAGUCCUAAGCGGCCUACAAGCUACGGUGUACCGGUUGAGACGCAUAAUAGAUUUAGCUCUUUAGCUAGUCCUACACCCCAGUCUACCGGGCACCACACCUUAGUUAUAGGGGACUCCAUCACCCGAAACAUAAAGCUUAGCAAACCAGCCACAAUAAAGUGUAUCCCCGGGGCCAGAGCACCUGACAUUGAAGCUAAUCUUAGGGAGCUAACUCGCAACAGGCCUAGUAAACACGUACGACAGGCUAAUCGCACCACUAAUUAUGCGAAUAUAGUUGUACACGUUGGCUCCAAUGACACUAGAAUGAGACAGUCAGAGAUUACAAAGAGAAACAUAGCCAGGACUUGUGAUCUCGCCAGAAAGAUGUCCAGGCAUCGAGUAAUUGUCUCUGGCCCCCUGCCUGCGAGAGGCAAUGAUGAGAGAUAUAGCAGAUUAGUCUCGCUUAACAAGUGGUUGGCUAGCUACUGUAGGACGCAGGGACUAACGUUUAUUGAUAACUGGCCCUCUUUCUGGGGCAAACCAGGCUUGCUGAUGAGAGACGGCCUUCACCCUAACCAGGAAGGCGCCAUCAUCCUGUCUAGAAACAUAGACUACUAUUUAAGUCUCACUUGACUGACUACACUAGAGCAAGCCCGGUCACAGGCAAUUACAAUGUCUGUUAGUCCGGGUGAGGAGUCAGUUAAGCUAGAACUAGCCAGCGCCAGGCUGGAUAAUCCAUGUACGCAUAGCAAUUCUCUUAGAAUAAUACACAAUUCACAUAAUGUUUUUUCUGUUGUGUCUGUGUCAGAGGUGGACAUGCAUUCUACUGAGGUGGCAAAUUAUGAUAUGUCCAGUCUACUGCAGCACCAAGCAAACAAUCGGAAAAUUCCCGUCAUAUCAAUUCCUAGAUAUGGUCGAAACUAUUUAAAGUGCACUACGCAUAAUAAACGCAACAUUGUUAAUAUUGCCACUACGGAUAAUCUUAACAAAAACUCGUCAAAACAGCCCAAUACCUAUAAUAUGGGCUUUUUAAACAUAAGAUCAUUGUCUCCCAAGGCGUUAUUGGUUAAUGAGGUCAUUAGAGACAACAAUCUUAACGUCAUUGGUCUUAGCGAAACCUGUCUCAAACCGGACAAAUUUUUUGCGCUCAAUGAGGCAUCUCCUCCUAACUAUACGAAUGCGCAUGUUGCCCGCCCUCUUAAAAGGGGAGGGGGUGUCGCACUAAUAUACAAUGAAAAUUUCAACCUUACCCCUAACCUAAAUAAUAAAUAUAAAUCGUUUGAGGUGCUUACUAUGAGGUCUGUCACACCGCUACCUCUCGACCUGGCUGUUAUCUACCGCCCCCCUGGGCCCUAUUCGGACUUUAUCAGUGAAUUCUCAGAGUUCGUUGCUGAUCUAGUGACGCACGCCGACAAUAUAAUCAUAAUGGGGGACUUUAAUAUCCAUAUGAAUACCCCAUCGGACCCUCAGUGCGUGGCGCUCCAAACCAUAAUUGAUAGCUGUGGUCUUACACAAAUAAUACAUGAACCCACGCAUCGCAACGGUAAUACAAUAGAUCUAGUGCUUGUCAGGGGUGUCACCACCUCCAAAGUUAUGAUACUUCCAUAUACUAAAGUAAUGUCCGAUCAUUACCUUAUAAAAUUUGAAGUUUUGACUCUUUGUCAACAAGCUAAUAAUAAUAAUAACUGCUAUAGCGGCCGCAACAUUAAUGCUGCCACAACGAUGACUCUUGCUGACCUACUGCCUUCGGUAAUAGCACCAUUCCCAAAUUAUGUCGGCUCUAUUGAUAAACUCACUAACAACUUUGACGAUGCCUUGCGCGAAAUUAUUGAUAGUAUAGCACCGCUAAAGCAAAAAAGGGCCCCUAAAAGGCGCACCCCAUGGUUUACAGAAGAAAUUAGAGCUCAUAAAUUAUCAUGUAGAAAACUGGAACGCAAAUGGCGCGCGACUAAACUUGAGGUUUUUCAUCAAGCAUGGAGUGAUAGUUUAAUAACUUAUAAACGCAUACUUACCUUAGCUAAAGCUAAAUACUACUCAAAUCUUAUCCGCCUCAACAAAAACGAUCCUAAAUUUCUGUUUAGUACAGUAGCAUCGCUAACCCAACAAGGGACUCCUCCCAGUAGCUCCACCCACUCGGCAGAUGAUUUUAUGAAUUUCUUUAAUAAGAAAAUUGAACUCAUUAGAAAGGAGAUUAAAGACAACGCAUCCCAGCUACAACUGGGCUCUAUUAACACAAAUACGACUGUAUAUACGACGGACACUGCCCUCCAAAAUAGUCUCUCUAUUUUUGAUGAAAUAACAUUAGAGGAAUUAUUACAGCGUGUAAGUGGGAUAAAACAAACAACAUGUUUACUUGACCCACUUCCUGGGAAACUUAUCAAGGAACUGUUUGUAUUAUUAGGUCCAUCAGUGUUAAAUAUUAUAAACUUAUCACUUUCCUCCGGCACUGUUCCCCUAGCAUUCAAAAAAGCGGUUAUUCAUCCUCUGCUCAAAAGACCUAACCUCGAUCCUGACCUCAUGGUAAACUACCGACCGGUCUCCCACCUUCCGUUUAUUUCCAAAAUUCUCGAAAAAACUGUUGCACAGCAGCUAAAUGAACACUUAGUGACUAACAAUCUCUGUGAACCUUUUCAAUCCGGUUUCAGGGCAAAUCACUCUACGGAGACAGCCCUCGCAAAAAUGACUAAUGAUCUAUUGCUAACGA